rnacentral:rRNA from 1 species
AGCAGCCGCGGUAAUUCCAGCUCCAAUAGCGUAUAUUAAAGUUGUUGCAGUUAAAAGGCUCGUAGUUGAAUUUCGGGAUUAGUACGCUGGUCAUGCCUUUGGUAUGUACUGGUGUUACUGGUUUCUACCUUCUGAAGAACCGUUAUGUCAUUUAUUUGGUGUGGCGGGAAAUCAGGACUGUUACUUUGAAAAAAUUAGAGUGUUUAAAGCAGGCUCGCGCUUGAAUACAUUAGCAUGGAAUAAUGAAAUAGGACGUUUGACCCUAUUUUGUUGGUUUCUAGGAUCGACGUAAUGAUUAAUAGGGAUAGUUGGGGGCAUUAGUAUUCAAUUGUCAGAGGUGAAAUUCUUGGAUUUAUUGAAGACUAACUACUGCGAAAGCAUUUGCCAAGGAUGUUUUCAUUAAUCAAGAACGAAAGUUAGGGGAUCGAAGACGAUCAGAUACCGUCGUAGUCUUAACCAUAAACUAUGCCGACUAGGGAUCGGAUGAUGUUAUUUUUAAUGACUCAUUCGGCGCCUUACG